rnacentral:rRNA from 1 species
CACCGGCGGCCCGAGUGGUGAUCGUGAUUAUUGGGUCUAAAGGGUCCGUAGCCGGUUUGGUCAGUCCUCCGGGAAAUCUGAUAGCUCAACUAUUAGGCUUUCGGGGGAUACUGCCAGACUUGGAACCGGGAGAGGUAAGAGGUACUACAGGGGUAGGAGUGAAAUCUUGUAAUCCCUGUGGGACCACCUGUGGCGAAGGCGUCUUACCAGAACGGGUUCGACGGUGAGGGACGAAAGCUGGGGGCACGAACCGGAUUAGAUACCCGGGUAGUCCCAGCCGUAAACGAUGCUCGCUAGGUGUCAGGCAUGGCGCGACCGUGUCUGGUGCCGCAGGGAAGCCGUGAAGCGAGCCACCUGGGAAGUACGGCCGCAAGGCUGAAACUUAAAGGAAUUGGCGGGGGAGCACAACAACGGGUGGAGCCUGCGGUUUAAUUGGACUCAACGCCGGACAACUCACCGGGGGCGACAGCAAUAUGUAGGCCAAGCUGAAGACUUUGCCUGAAUCGCU